AGUAACACAUCGGAACGUAUCCAGUCGUGGGGGAUAGCCCGGCGAAAGCCGGAUUAAUACCGCAUACGACCUGAGGGUGAAAGUGGGGGAUCGCAAGACCUCACGCGAAUGGAGCGGCCGAUGUCCGAUUAGCUAGUUGGUGGGGUAAAGGCCUACCAAGGCGACGAUCGGUAGCUGGUCUGAGAGGAUGAUCAGCCACACUGGGACUGAGACACGGCCCAG
rnacentral:rRNA from 1 species